rnacentral:tRNA from 1 species
CGGGUGUGGCGGAAUUGGCAGACGCGCCGGACUUAGAAUCCGGUUCCGCAAGGGGUAUGGGUUCAAAUCCCAUCAUCCGC